ACGGGAGGCAGCAGUGGGGAAUAUUGCACAAUGGGCGAAAGCCUGAUGCAGCGACGCCGCGUGAGUGAUGAAGUAUUUCGGUAUGUAAAGCUCUAUCAGCAGGGAAGAAAAUGACGGUACCUGACUAAGAAGCCCCGGCUAACUACGUGCCAGCAGCCGCGGUAAUACGUAGGGGGCAAGCGUUAUCCGGAUUUACUGGGUGUAAAGGGAGCGUAGGUGGCAAGGCAAGCCAGAAGUGAAAAUCCGGGGCUCAACCUCGGAACUGCUUUUGGAACUGCCUAGCUAGAGUGCAGGAGAGGUAAGCGGAAUUCCUAGUGUAGCGGUGAAAUGCGUAGAUAUUAGGAGGAACACCAGUGGCGAAGGCGGCUUACUGGACUGUAACUGACACUGAGGCUCGAAAGCGUGGGGAGCAAACAGGAUUAGAUACCCUGGUA
rnacentral:rRNA from 2 species